CGAGGUACAUCACUUCCGCAUAGGAUCCCAUCUCCCGCAAUUACUGUGUUCUUUCGUCACAUCCUCCGUGACUCUCAACUCCACGUACAUAUAUCAAAAGCGAAAUUGGGUUUUGUGAGGAGGUUGUUCAGAUCAUUUGAUCAGAUAAAAUGGGAGGGGGGCAACGGUCAGAAGUCUAGGAUGGCUCGUGACAAGAACUUGGAGAAGAUGAAAGCCCCCAGAGCCAGCUGCAAUCGAACCAAAAAGCCAUCAAUAUCCAGGUACAAGAUUCAAGGUUAGAGGCUCUUAUUAUGCUUGGAUGAUUUGAGGACUCGAAGGGUUUAAUUCUUGUGAAGGUUGGCUUGAAAAGCCAUUUGUAACCUUAUAUGUCAAAUGUGUAUAUUUAGUUCUAAACUUGUAAUUUGUGCCUAAGCGUACUUUUUGAUUCUCAUUUUAUGUAUAUGACAUGAGGCCAAUGGCCAAACUUAUUUUGGAAUCACAUAUAUGUCAUGGAUGUUAAAUUUUCCCUUC